AAAGACUCAAGCUGACAGCCAUCGGCGUAAAGAGUGGUUAGGAAUAUACUAAACUAAAGCCGAAUGUAUUCUUAGCUGUUCAACGCAUUCGAAAAUAAGAAGCUCAGUAACGAAAGUAGCUUUAAAUUUCUGACCCCACGAAAGCUAUGAAGCAAACUGGGAUUAGAUACCCCACUAUGCAUAGCAGUAAACACAGAUAAGUACAUACUUCUAUUAUCCGCCAGGGUACUACAAGCAUAA
rnacentral:rRNA from 1 species